rnacentral:snRNA from 1 species
UCUGGCUGAGACAUCUGUCACCCCGCUGAUGGCCAGGGUUGAUUUGGCUGAUCAGGCUGCCUAGGCGUGUGUCCCUA